GACAGAGGAUGCAAGCGUUAUCCGGAAUGAUUGGGCGUAAAGCGUCUGUAGGUGGCUUUGCAAGUCGGGUGUGAAAGCCCUCAGCUCAACUGAGGAAGUGCGCCCGAAACUGCAGAGCUUGAGUGCCGGAGAGGGUGGCGGAAUUCCCCAAGUAGAGGUGAAAUUCGUAGAUAUAGGGAGGAACACCGGUGGCGAAGGCGGCCACCUGGACGGUAACUGACGCUGAGACGCGAAAGCGUGGGGAGCAAACAGG
rnacentral:rRNA from 1 species